UACAGAGGGUGCGAGCGUUAAUCGGAAUUACUGGGCGUAAAGCGUGCGCAGGCGGUUUUGUAAGCCAGAUGUGAAAUCCCCGGGCUUAACCUGGGAACUGCAUUUGUGACUGCAUCGCUGGAGUGCGGCAGAGGGGGAUGGAAUUCCGCGUGUAGCAGUGAAAUGCGUAGAUAUGCGGAGGAACACCGAUGGCGAAGGGCAAUCCCCUGGGCCUGCACUGACGCUCAUGCACGAAAGCGUGGGAGCAAACAGG
rnacentral:rRNA from 1 species